rnacentral:piRNA from 1 species
UUACACCGUGUCUGGAUCCUCCACCUCUUU